UCGUUAGAUCACCGAAGUCAAGCAUCAUUGGGCGCGGUCAGUACUUGGGUGGGUGACCACCUGGGAACACCGCGUGCCGUU